UACAGGGGGUGCAAACGUUUGCUCGGAAUCAUUGGGCGUAAAGCGCACGUAGGCGGUUCGUUAUGUCGGAUGUGAAAGCCCUUGGCUUAACCGAGGAAGUGCAUCCGAAACUGGCGAGCUAGAGUACGAAAGAGGAUCGCGGAAUUCCAGGUGUAGCGGUGAAAUGCGUAGAUAUCCGGAGGAACACCGAAGGCGAAGGCAGUGUCCUGGGGAGUACCUGACGACUCAGGUGCGAAAGCCAGGG
rnacentral:rRNA from 1 species